AAUGAUGACCAGUGUAAUAAACAGCCCUGACGAUAUACAACAAAUUAUAAACAUAAAAAGAAUCGAUAAUUCGGACCUCACAAUUCAUAGAUGUAGAUACUGAAAAUAGAUUAAAAUAAGGCUACCAACAAGAACUUUUGUUUCAAAAUAUCGUGGCAUCCCUUGAAGUGUCAGAUUAUAAGAAAGUGGAAGCCAAAAUUUCUCCUUUGAACGUAACCAAGAUUUCCCCAUUUUUUUAGAAGUCAUAAAAUCUGAAAUAAUUUUCCCACCCCUUCCAAAUUUGCAAUUCAAAACCAAUAGACCAUGGAGAGUAAGCUCCAAUAGUAUACUCUUGAACCCCAUUACCUGAAAAUACAUCCAACUCCUGAGGCACCAAUGUCUGGCUUCAAGAUCUCUUCAAAAGGAGAAAUGUUUUGGGAUUACCUCCAAGUGGUCUCUCCAUGUGAACGGCUACAACAAUCAAGCUUUGAGGUCCUUCAAUUGUGUUGCAAAAUCGAUUUGGGGGUUAGCGUUCAUAAUUUGGGCUUCCAGUCUAGGUGGCUUGCAUUCUCUAUUUCAUGAUUUCAAUUGAAAAGGGGUCGGUGUG
rnacentral:lncRNA from 1 species